AUUGAACGCUGGCGGCAGGCUUAACACAUGCAAGUCGAGCGGAGCGAGGGUGCUUGCACCUUAGCUUAGCGGCGGACGGGUGAGUAAUGCUUAGGAAUCUGCCUAUUAGUGGGGGACAACAUUCCGAAAGGGAUGCUAAUACCGCAUACGCCCUACGGGGGAAAGCAGGGGAUCUUCGGACCUUGCGCUAAUAGAUGAGCCUAAGUCGGAUUAGCUAGUUGGUGGGGUAAAGGCCUACCAAGGCGACGAUCUGUAGCGGGUCUGAGAGGAUGAUCCGCCACACUGGGACUGAGACACGGCCCAGACUCCUACGGGAGGCAGCAGUGGGGAAUAUUGGACAAUGGGGGGAACCCUGAUCCAGCCAUGCCGCGUGUGUGAAGAAGGGCCUUUUGGUUGUAAAGCACUUUAAGCGAGGAGGAGGCGCUCUAGGAUAAUA
rnacentral:rRNA from 1 species